CAGCUCCAACAGCGUAURUUAAAGUUGUUGCAGUUAAAAAGCUCGUAGUUGGAUCUAGGGACGCGCAUUUCAAGCGCCCGUGCCAUCGGGUCAAACCGGUGGCUGCGUUGGCGUUGCGGGCUCGGUCCGUCGGUGCCCCACAAAGGGCUAUCGGCGUGUCAACCGGCCCGCCCGUCCCCUCCUUCUGGAUUCCCGUUCCUGCUAUUGAGUUAGUGGGGACGUCACAGGGGGUCCAUCGUCGUGCGGGUCAAACCGUGCGGCGGUGGGUCCCUGGGGCCCAGAUCGUUUACCGUGAAAAAAUUAGAGUGUUCAAAGCAGGCAGAUCCAAUUUUCUGCCACCGAAUACAUUAGCAUGGGAUAAUGGAAUAGGACCCUGUCCUCCUAUUUUCAGUUGGUUUUGGCAGCGCGAGGACUAGGGUAAUGAUUAAUAGGGAUAGUUGGGGGCAUUAAUAUUUAAUUGUCAGAGGUGAAAUUCUUGGAUUUAUGAAAGAUUAACUUCUGCGAAAGCAUCUGCCAAGGAUGUUUUCAUUAAUCAAGAACGAAAGUUAGGGGAUCGAAGACGAUCAGAUACCGUCGUAGUCUUAACCAUAAACGAUGCCGACCAGCGAUUAGGAGACGUUGAAUACAAAACACCACCAUCGGUGCGGUCGUCCUUGGCGUCUCGGUCCUUCACGGGGCCGGGGCGCGGGGGUGGCUUAGCCCGGUGGCACCDGUGAA
rnacentral:rRNA from 1 species